AGGAGCUGUAGCACUUAAAAAUCUUGAAAUAAAAGAAAAUGCAUUGUAUCAAUUUGAUGUCCCCUUUAAAGUUAAAGCAGGUCAUAUUGGUCAGCUAAAUUUGCAAAUACCAUGGAAAAAUCUUUAUACUCAGCCAGUUGAAGCUGUUUUAGAUGAAGUUUAUCUGCUUAUAGUACCUACAGCUAGUAUUAAAUAUGAUGCUGAAAAAGAAGAAAAGCAACAGCUGGAAGCAAAGCAAAAAGAAUUGCAAAGAAUUGAAGAUGCAAAACAAAAGAUUGCUGACAAAGGUAAGAAAAGAUCCAAUAGUCAUUCAGUUUUAACUUCAACUCCAACUGAAUGGUGGCUCACAAAAUAAAGCAUAUCAAAAGCAAAUCAAUAUGAAUACAGUAAAAUUAAUUUAAAAAGAGUUACCAAAUACAGGUAGUCCUUAAGAUAUGACAGUCACUUAACAGCCAUUUGAAAAUCCCCCCCACCCCAGGCUUAUACAACCUUGUUUCAAAGUUGUGGUGGCUGCAGCACUCCCCAUGUCUUUUUCCCUUACAACCAACCAUAGUGAUACUACAGUGCCCCCCACCUCUCCCCUUAUCCUAUUGGGACCCUGCAGUGCUUGGGUCUGCUCUCCAUGCCUCUUGGAAGCGGGCACCAUUUUCAGCACUUUCCACAAUUUCUUGUGGAAAUGCUGACUACUUUUGGAGUUUUCUGUCAAGAUCAGCUGGCCUUUGGGAGACUGCAAAUUUCUCCUGGAUCUUGCUAGGCUUUGGAAAAGCCCGCUGCCUGCAUGCAAGGGUGACAGCUGCAGGAGAGUCAUUCCAAAAGAGGUUUUCCCCCUUUUCCUUGCUUAACCCUUCCUUCCCCCAAAAACCUAAUUUGUUCAAAAAAGAAAACAGAAACAAAAGUUGGGAGGGACAGACUUGUUGAUCUUUCUUCCUACUCUUCCACCAAUUAGGUAACAGAAAGAGGGUGACAGAAUCUGUCAGUUACUAAUUUGAUGGGUGACUGCCAGACUGAAGAGUAAAGGAAAGGAAGGAAGG